rnacentral:lncRNA from 1 species
GGAAGGACACAGGAUAUAGAAAGGCAGAGAUUGUUUGGCCCUCUUCCCAUAGUCCUGCCAUCCCAUAGUCCUGCCAUCCCAUGGACUCAGGGGAGAGGCUUCCAGAAGCAGUGGAGCCAGAAACUGGACUAGGGAACCUGAUCCCAAGUCCUGAGGACUUCCCAGUUUCUAAGCUUCCCACUAUGCAAAGAGCAAAGCCAAGGCCUUCCCAGACUUGGCGAGGAGGACGGUAGGCAUCCCUGGACUCAGGGAUGCAGGAUGCUCAGGCUUCUGUAAAGUGGUCCAUUUCUGCCCUGCCCUUUAUGGCAUUCAUCUUCCUGGAGCGAGCAGUUUCCCAACCGGCUCUUAGAUGGAUUCCCCAGUUACUAGGCCAGAGGCCUCUUCAACAUCUUAGAUGGGCUCAGGAGGCUCUGGCCCUCAGUACCCACCUGCUUCCUUGCUGUCCUGGCUGGAAGAAGAGGCCAUGAAAGUCAGGGCCCAGGCUUGUGGAGACACACUGAUCCAGCACCGAAUGGUUAUGGCUAGCCAGCUUUCGACGGACUGCCUUCUUGUCCAGCCUCGGGCAGAGUGGGAUGCAGGGUACCUGGGCAUAGGGGCUCUGCAGAUUGGCAGCUGGAAUAAGAGGGAGCAAGAGAACUCGGCAUGGCCACCUUGGAGAAACCCUAGACUUGCUACAUAAUAACCAGAGUAGGUUUGGGCAAAUACCUUAGUGUCUGAGCCUCCAAGUUGGAGAGGAUAUUGGUACCCGCCACAGAGUGGAUGAUGACAGGGAUGAUGGACAAGGCUGAGGGCUGGGCCUAAGGCUGGCCAUAGCGUAAAAGAGAAGCUAGCCCAGGAGGAUGGGCCGGAGUGCAGACUGCCCUCGUCAGCAUACUAGCUAGGGUUUCCAUUUCUGCAAGUGGGGUGACUGUAGGGCACACAUCCACAAAGGACCUUCAAGUGGAACUGCCUGGUGGGCUCUCAAAGACAGCCUUGGCACAGGGCUAAGGCAGGAUGGUAGAGUCCAAAGCAUGGAGCUGAGUGUUGUAUGGUGUGGACCACUGUUUAUUAAUAGUUCCCACACAGCUAAGCCAUGGCCUCUACCUAGAGGAACUUGGCCACAUAGACAGGCCUCUACUCGCCAGCCCAGCUCGUGCACUGGCCCUCACCAUAGUUCUGCUGCUUCAGCCGGCUCAGGAUCCUGAGGACCCUCCGUUCUGGGACUUCUAAGUUUUCUACUUGCUGAGGGUUGUAAGGAAUCUUCUUCCUCUGUCGCAGCCCGCCCAUAGCCGAUUCCAUCUCUCGGGCCUUGGAGGACCCUUCCUUCAGCUUCUUCUGAUAGUAGCUAGGGGGGUAACACCCAGCAGCUCAGCCUGGUUGUGGGCUUCACCCCUUCCUCCUAACCCCACCCCCCCAAGCUGGCCGUCUGUGUGGCAGGACUGAAGCCCACCCAGGCAUCUGGAGACAUGGGCCUCUUAGGAAAUAGGAGGAAACGGCUCUAUCUGCUGUGCGUGUCACUUGACAUCAGGGCUUGAGGGUCUCCCCCACUGCUAAGAUGGGGGUAGAACAUAAGGAUUGUAUGUGAGAUGGGACCUGUUAGGUUCCCGGGACCAGCCACUUUGAGGUCAGUGUGUGUUACCCACCAUCACUGUUACUGACAUUGUCACUUAGAUAACAUUUCUGCCUAGACACCAGCUGUGCAGGGCUGGGGCUGUGGUCCAGUUCCCAGAGUGCUAGCCUGGCAUGCAGGAAGCCUUGGUAAAUAGCUAAACUGAGUUUGGUGGGCACGUGCCUGUAAUCCUAGCACUCAGGAGGUGGUGGAUGUGGGAAGCUCAGUCAUAGCCAUGCUUGUCUAGGUGUUGAGGUCUAGGCUGUUCUGGGAUAUAUGAAGUUCUUGUCUCAAAACAACAAAGCCCAGCAUGCAGCUGGCUCUACCUCAGCUGAGCUGCACCUUAUAAGGUUGUGUGCAUCAGAACAUCAGCUGUCGUCUACAGACCCGCCAGGCUCCCACCCCAAACUUGUGCUUUGCUCCUAAGAGCUGAUAUUAUAUGCGUGAGCCACCUUGUCCUGAGCAGUGUUAAGAGUGUUAACCUUAACUUGUCUUUUACCUACUGAGUGCAUACAACUCUAAAGGACAUCGCUGGCUCCUCCCUCUGCUUUCCUAUGGCUUCUGACUUGGGUGCCUGGGCAGCUUUGUCUCCCUGCCUGCCACUUCUAGUCCAAGAAUAACGUGAACUGUCUGCUUUGAACUGGAGGCCUGUUCCCUAACUGACACGCCCACCAGGUUUCUAUACCCAGCUAGACUACCCAGUGAGCAAAGACGGCAUACUCUAGCAGCUGUGGACACUCUCAGGAAUCCUGCCUCCUGUACAUUGUUUCUCAAAGCUUUGGUCCGUACAAACC